GUGAGGAAUAUUGGUCAAUGGGGGCAACCCUGAACCAGCCAAGUCGCGUGAAGGAUGAAGGUCUUAUGGAUUGUAAACUUCUUUUACACGGGAAUAAAGUGGGGGACGUGUCCCCCUUUGCAUGUACCGUGUGAAUAAGGAUCGGCUAACUCCGUGCCAGCAGCCGCGGUAAUACGGAGGAUCCGAGCGUUAUCCGGAUUUAUUGGGUUUAAAGGGUGCGCAGGCGGGAUGUUAAGUCGGCGGUGAAAUUUUGCAGCUCAACUGUAAAAGUGCCUUCGAUACUGGCCUCCUUGAGUGUGGAUGAAGUAGGCGGAAUUUGUGGUGUAGCGGUGAAAUGCUUAGAUAUCACGAGGAACUCCGAUUGCGCAGGCAGCUUACUAAGCCACAACUGACGCUCAUGCACGAAGGCGUGGGGAUCAAAC
rnacentral:rRNA from 1 species